UACAGAGGGUGCAAGCGUUAAUCGGAAUGACUGGGCGUAAAGCGUGUGUAGGUGGUUGGAUAAGUUAGAUGUGAAAUCCCCGGGCUUAACCUGGGAACUGCGUUUAAGACUGUUCAACUAGAGUGCUGUAGAGGAUAGUGGAAUUUCCAGUGUAGCGGUGAAAUGCGUAGAUAUUGGAAGGAACACCAGUGGCGAAGGCGACUAUCUGGAUAGACACUGACACUGAGACACGAAAGCGUGGGGAGCAAACAGG
rnacentral:rRNA from 1 species